UGGGGAAUAUUGCACAAUGGGCGAAAGCCUGAUGCAGCAACGCCGCGUGAGUGAUGAAGGCCUUCGGGUUGUAAAGCUCUGUCUUUUGGGACGAUAAUGACGGUACCAAAGGAGGAAGCCACGGCUAACUACGUGCCAGCAGCCGCGGUAAUACGUAGGUGGCAAGCGUUGUCCGGAUUUACUGGGCGUAAAGGAUGCGUAGGCGGAUUUUUAAGUGAGAUGUGAAAUGCCCGGGCUUAACUUGGGUGCUGCAUUUCAAACUGGGAAUCUAGAGUGCGGGAGAGGAGAAUGGAAUUCCUAGUGUAGCGGUGAAAAUGCGUAGAGAUUAGGAAGAACACCAGUGGCGAAGGCGAUUCUCUGGACCGUAACUGACGCUGAGGCAUGAAAGCGUGGGUAGCAAACAGGGUUAGAUACCCUGGUAGUCCACGCCGUAAACGAUGAGUACUAGGUGUAGGAGGUAUCGACCCCUUCUGUGCCGCAGUUAACACAAUAAGUACUCCGCCUGGGAAGUACGAUCGCAAGAUUAAAAACUUAAAUGAAUUGACGGGGGUCAUAGCUGUUUUCCU
rnacentral:rRNA from 1 species